rnacentral:rRNA from 1 species
GAUGAACGCUGGCGGCGUGCCUAAUACAUGCAAGUCGAGCGAACAGAUGAGGAGCUUGCUCCUCUGACGUUAGCGGCGGACGGGUGAGUAACACGUGGAUAACCUACCUAUAAGACUGGGAUAACUUCGGGAAACCGGAGCUAAUACCGGAUAAUAUAUUGAACCGCAUGGUUCAAUAGUGAAAGACGGUUUUGCUGUCACUUAUAGAUGGAUCCGCGCCGCAUUAGCUAGUUGGUAAGGUAACGGCUUACCAAGGCAACGAUGCGUAGCCGACCUGAGAGGGUGAUCGGCCACACUGGAACUGAGACACGGUCCAGACUCCUACGGGAGGCAGCAGUAGGGAAUCUUCCGCAAUGGGCGAAAGCCUGACGGAGCAACGCCGCGUGAGUGAUGAAGGUCUUCGGAUCGUAAAACUCUGUUAUUAGGGAAGAACAAAUGUGUAAGUAACUGUGCACGUCUUGACGGUACCUAAUCAGAAAGCCGCGGCUAACUACGUG